UAAGCAUAUCAAUAAGCGGAGGCACAAGAAACCAACCGGGAUUGCCCUAGUAACGGCGAGUGAAGCGGCAACAGCUCAAAUUUGAAAUCUGGCUCUUUUAGAGUCCGAGUUGUAAUUUGCAGAGGGCGCUUUGGCUUUGGCAGCGGUCCAAGUUCCUUGGAACAGGACGUCACAGAGGGUGAGAAUCCCGUACGUGGUCGCUGGCUAUUGCCGUGUAAAGCCCCUUCGACGAGUCGAGUUGUUUGGGAAUGCAGCUCUAAAUGGGAGGUACAUUUCUUCUAAAGCUAAAUAUUGGCCAGAGACCGAUAGCGCACAAGUAGAGUGAUCGAAAGAUGAAAAGCACUUUGGAAAGAGAGUCAAACAGCACGUGAAAUUGUUGAAAGGGAAGCGCUUGCAGCCAGACUUGCUUGCAGUUGCUCAUCCGGGCUUUUGCCCGGUGCACUCUUCUGCAGGCAGGCCAGCAUCAGUUUGGGCGGUAAGAUAAAGGUCUCUGUCACGUACCUCUCUUCGGGGAGGCCUUAUAGGGGAGACGACAUAUUACCAGCCUGGACUGAGGUCCGCGCAUCUGCUAGGAUGCUGGCGUAAUGGCUGUAAGCGGCCCGUCUUGAAACACGGACCAAGGAGUCUAACAUCUAUGCGAGUGUUUGGGUGUCAAGCCCGAGCGCGUAAUGAAAGUGAACGGAGGUAGGAACCCGCAAGGGUGCACUAUCGACCGAUCCUGAUGUCUUCGGAAGGAUUUGAGUAAGAGCAUGGCUGUUGGGACCCGAAAGAUGGUGAACUAUGCUUGAAUAGGGUGAAGCCAGAGGAAACUCUGGUGGAGGCUCGCAGCGGUUCUGACGUGCAAAUCGAUCGUCAAAUUUGGGCAUAGGGGCGAAAGACUAAUCGAACUAUCUAGUAGCUGGUUCCUGCCGAUUUUCUCC
rnacentral:rRNA from 1 species